AUGAUAAUGAAAAUAUGUAAACAAGUUUCACUCACUCUAGAUCCCCAUAAAGUAUCUUUGAUACUUUUUAGUUGCUUCAAUUUAUGGAAAAUUAAACACUAUCAUGAUAUCUAUGAUAUUCUUCUUUUUUUUCACAUAGAACUCAGAUUAGAAAAUAUGAAAAAAAUAAUAAAAGGAUCAAAUAAAAAACACAAACAAAAAGCCAAAAUUUCUUGUUGA